UCCUCUGUAGUUCAGUCGGUAGAACGGGCGGACUGUUAAUCCGUAUGUCACUGGUUCGAGUCCAGUCAGAGGAGCCA
rnacentral:tRNA from 3 species